UACGUAGGGUGCAAGCGUUGUCCGGAAUUAUUGGGCGUAAAGAGCUCGUAGGCGGUCUGUUGCGUCGGCUGUGAAAACCCGGGGCUCAACUCCGGGCCUGCAGCCGAUACGGGCAGACUAGAGUUCGGCAGGGGAGACUGGAAUUCCUGGUGUAGCGGUGAAAUGCGCAGAUAUCAUGGGGAACACCAAAUGCGAAGGCAAUUCACUGGCACAUUCCUGACGCUGAGGCACGAAGGUCAGGGGAGCAAACGGG
rnacentral:rRNA from 1 species